rnacentral:piRNA from 1 species
UUCAGGAAUUUUCCCUGUGCCAAUAUC